rnacentral:rRNA from 1 species
UAAGGAAUAUUGGUCAAUGGGCGCAAGCCUGAACCAGCCAUGCCGCGUGCAGGAAGACGGCCCUAUGGGUUGUAAACUGCUUUUGUCAGGGAAUAAACCCCCGCUCGCGAGCGGGGCUGAAGGUACCUGAAGAAUAAGCAUCGGCUAACUCCGUGCCAGCAGCCGCGGUAAUACGGAGGAUGCAAGCGUUAUCCGGAUUCAUUGGAUUUAAAGGGUGCGCAGGCGGAUUGGUAAGUCAGGGGUGAAAUCCCACAGCUCAACUGUGGAACUGCCUUUGAUACUGUCGGUCUAGAGUAUAGUUGAAGUUGGCGGAAUGUGUCAUGUAGCGGUGAAAUGCUUAGAUAUGACACAGAACACCGAUCGCGAAGGCAGCUAGCUAAGCUAUAACUGACGCUCAUGCACGAAAGCGUGGGGAUCAAACAG